CACUUGCUCGUUGGUGUCGUUCGUUGUGUAAGAAAAUUGAUUUCUAAAUAUUUUGUUUAAAUUGCUAAAAAAUAAUUCAAUAA
ensembl:ncRNA C24G6.12 ncRNA